AGAAGAGCUAAUGUAUGAUAUUUGGUUUCCCUUCCCAGAAAAAGAAAGAAAUAACAAACAACAACAAUCAAAUGAAAUAAAGGUAUCAUUCUUGAGAAGUUGCCAGAGAUUUAGUAGGACUUCAGCCUGCAUCUUGGAAAGACAUACCAGACUCCAUAACACAGGCUCACCAGAUGGGCGUCUGCCCUCAGCUCUUCCCCGAGGAGGGCACUCCUACGCUGACUUUGAUACAGGCCAGCAGAGGUACCACUUCCCCCAUCCGCUCCAGGAGCCCAAGCACAUCACAGAAACAUGUGAACACUGACGGGGCUUUUAAGUGAUGAGUGCAGUUACACGUGAGUACCAGGAGAGGCGCUGCAGUGCAAUCAGUGGUCCUGGAAACCAGGCGGUCCGUGACAGGCACCUGACCUUGACUUGUCUUUGGAAUCACAUGCUGCAUGGAAACCAACAAGCAGAAAUAUCCACCUGGUUUUAGAGGGGGAAGGAUGCACAACAGAUUGGCCAUCCUCUCUUUGGAGAAGGUGUGUUUUUAGCUUUGGUUUGAACUUGACCCACCACCUCCCUGAUGAGCAUCCCCAAGCCUGAGGAGACAGGCCCUGGAGAAGAUGGGGUAGGCUGCAACCAGGGCAAGGAGUAGCCCCGGCUGACAGCACGUGGAGUAUCACCCCCAGUUCUACCUUGCCUUGAUUCUGAGCAUCUAGGAGGGGACAUGGUGUCUGGGUGUUCUACCUCUGUCUCCAGGUCUAGUCACAUCCCCUCCAGGCAGCCCAUGGCCCUGCCAGCCAUGACACCCUGCUUCAAGCCCUGGGGCCCCCAGUAAGGCGCCCCCAGGGGAUGUGGUGAUCACAGAGUAAUCACCCCCCUGGGUGCUGGGUUCACAGCUGAAGCUCAAAUCUUCUAACACCCGGGAGGCGCAAUUAUCCGCCAUCAUGCUUUAAUUCUUAAUGAAAAUGAGACCCAGCACUGAAAGGGGAUGGGGUGGCCGAUUAUGUUCCUCUCUGGUGAGACGAGAGGUGAGUGGGGUCCCUGAGAGCUCGAGUCAGGCCCCAGGCCCCUCCUGGGGAAGGGGAGGCCCCCCUGGGAAAUCUCAUUGCUGCAUCAAUUGCCAGGGACUCCCCCCCACCAAAAAAAAGCACAGGUCCUGGGACUUUCCAAUGCCAACAGUACUGGAGGGCCUUCCCAAGUUCACCCACUUUUAACCUUUUAAGGGAGAUUGUGAGCUGUGUUCUCAUUAGCAGGUUUCUGUGGAAGCAACAGGGAGGGGCUGGGACUCCCUGUCCUUAUUACAAAAAAUUAGAAUGACUGGGUGUUAUGGUUAAUACAGGCUGGCCAAACCUGCAAUUAAAGAAAGUAAUUUUAAGCCGUGGUGAAAUAUUAAUAUUAAAAGUGUUUCAGGGACAGGAAUCUAAUUAACACAAGUUAAAGAAAAGCCUUAAAGAUUCUAAUUUUAUGAUCUUCUUAAAUAAAAAUUAACCUGAUUAGAGCCCUCUCUUAAAG
rnacentral:lncRNA from 1 species